GUUCCUGAUGGCGUUACCGUUGCUGGUAAAUGUAAAUUUUGUAAGACGUAACUCCCCUGCACCAACGCCUUAGCACCAACUGCUACACCAACUUAAAGAAAUCAGCAACUAAAUUAUUGAAUCACUGAAACGUCAAUAAAAAAGUCGACGACGCCGACGAAUCGUGCAGCGCAGCACUAUAAACCAUAGCUCCACAAACACAGAAGCACUUUGCACGUACUGUGGGCAGCAGAUAGCUGAUGUUUGUUUACUGCACACAACAUUUUCCCACAAGCUACACAGCUGCAGCAGUAAAAUGGAAUCUGACGUGACUCAGGGAUUUCAGAACCCUUCAAAAAAUCUUGAAACUGCCCAUGGUAUCUCUUUGAAACCACUGAACAAGCAAUGCGCUACAUAUUAGGCACACCUGUAGCUCAGUAGCAAAGGCACUGAUAAAAUGUUUGCAAAAAGAACAGCGAUUUUCAACACAUACAUCACAAAAUACGACACUCGUCGCUGCAACAACGAUGGCGAUUGCAUAAUGAUGAUGAUGUUGGUGUAACUUCCGCUGGAUUGGCAUAUGUGUUAUUAAACAUUUAACCUCCACCACCCAAUUAUAAUGAACGGCCACAGAAAUUAAAGUAUUACAAAAAAUAAGUACUCAAUAAGCACGAGCUAAAGCAAUGGCAAUGACGCCUGCCCGUCUACCCAAUCACCAUCCAUCAUCCAUCCAUCCAACCAGUUCGAACCAGUUCAGUUUCAACGGUUGAAACUUCAAACUUUCCGGACGCGCAACGGGUAGCAGUUGGGGUCUUCGCGGCUGCAUUCCACUGGUUGUUAUACGAAAAUCUUUCGAAGUUCUAAUCUCCCGCGCGUUUUGUCUUGCAAUUUUUGAGCAUAGCGAGAACGUACGCCGUGCUGUCCAGUGAUAAGAGCUGUUGAGCGCAGCAGAGCUCCCAGAGUACUGUGGUGGACAACGUUUCUUUGUUCUCUGGCUUUCAAGUUUAAGGGGUGCUUGGACUAUCUUGCAUCGGUGGAUAUGAAAAUAGUGGUAACCUACCCUACGAAACAGCUGUUUGCACAUAAGCUUAACAGUUCCCUGUGAGAUGCUGUGAAAGUCAGCAGGGAAGUGCGAUGUAGAAGAAACGACUGCCAGAAGCUUGCUAAGGAACCGCACAACCUGUGUGGGCAGCAGACAAAAUAUUCAUCAAACGGUACAAAACUAGUAUUUUUGUGCUUUGUCGUUUUGAGACAUCCUUGGUAUUGUAUGGAGAACAGCGUGACUAUGUCAUUCCGUCUUACUUCACCCAAACAGCUAUCUGGUAGUAGUGCAAGAUUUGAGUUCCUAAAAGGUUUAUUCACUGAAGUCACCUCAGCGCCAUACUAUAGGUCCCGCAAUGUUUAGUCCUUGCAUUUGUUUGCUGCAUUAUGCUUUUUAGGUGACUAUUAACACCAAAAAUAUGGAAAUUGCUCAGACAUUCUACAAAUCACAGAGCAACAAGUUUUAAACACCAGAUAUACGGUGAGUAUAAUAUGGGUAACAGCUUGACUGAAAUCUACAAUAGGGCCGAUGGCAGCAAAUCUGCCUGCUAGCGACAGUGGCGGUCUCCUGCGGAUGACGUCAUGUGAAUAAACUUGUAUACUACUUGUACGUACUUAUAAUAUUUGACGUGGUGAUACAGCCCUUGCUUUGUAUUGUCUUUUAUAAUAUACACAGUGUUUAUUUUUAUCCUGUACAGAAGCUUUGCACCAAAGUUAUGAGAGCAGCACAGAUGUUGUUUUAGCGUAAUGGAGUGAUGGAAGUGCUGCACCAAUCAUGGAGUGCUUAGCAGUCGCCUGCUCGACCAGGUAAGGUCGUGUGUCACGAGAAAACGCCUGUCACAUUGAUGUACUUUCACAGCGAAAGCUGUUACAUCCUCAUUUCCCUGAGAUCCUGGCAGCGUCCGCUAGAGCCCUGUGCAGAUAAGAUUUUUAGCAUCCGCGUACACGUUAUCCGAUCCGCACCAUUGCAUACACAACCGUUUAGAUCCGCAAGUUUCGAAGGACGCGUAAACACAGCCGGAAGAAUGUUGGUAUAAUUUCGGAUGCCUCCAUGCUCUCAUGGAAGGACUCAUGGCGACAAGCAAAGGUAAACCUUUCAACAAACGCGAUAUGGAGAGACUUCUGGAACGCUUCCUCACCGGUGCUCGUGUGGACGCCAAAAUGCCUUCUCUCCCGUCUUGGCCGUGCAUGGUCAAAGGUGAACCCGGACAUGCGCUCGCUGUCGGUGCGCAAUGCAAAUAAAUUGCUAGUAGAAAAAUUAUAGCAUGCGGUAUAUCUGCAUCCGACCUCGAGCCAUCCGAUCCGCACACCGCAGAAAGUGAUAAAUUCUCAUCCGAAUCCGCAAGUAUCUUACGGAUAUCUGCUUCCAUCCGCGGAUGGUGCAGGGCUCUAGCGUCCACAUCAGGUAGUGACGCGCAAACAGAUUUUCAGCUGUUGCUGUAAUUUGUGUUGUGUAGCUGUAACAGUUCUGUGAUUUUUGUACGUGCAGCUUCUUUUCUUUGUGUCUCUCAGAUCAGUGUUGAUACAGCUUUUGCUCUUAUGUGGCCAGACAAGCAUCCCGUGAAAGAGUGUGCAUAGCCACUAAACAAACUAGUUAGAACUAGCAGGCUACAUAAUGCUUUCUGACAUGUUUUGUUCUAUUUUCUA